UGCCCCCAGUGGUGUGGAGGUGUACAUCAACUUGGCACUCUACAGGUUUCUGGUGCUUUCUACCUCUACUAUGGUUACUGUACAUGAUUAAUAUGUAUGUAGCAGCUGUGCAUGUGAUUCAUACAUAUUUAUAUACUAGUUUGACCAGCUCUUCACUCUGUAGGACGCAAGAAAUUGUAGAAAUGAACUGCCCCUCUUUUUCCCCCACUUUGCUUGAGACGCUGUUUACUGAAUGAGGGAUAACAGUUCGAAAGUUUAGUGUGACAGCAAUAUGAGCUGCUCUCAGAAGACCUGAUGUGAUGUAGCGUGCGACUGGUUCAUGUGAUUUGGGUUUUGUUGAUUUCUUUUCCCAAUUUUGUCGAAUCCGAUCGAUAAAUUCUUCCAUCAUGUUUGAAAGCAGUAGCUCAGGAUUGUCUAAAUUCAGAUUGUCUCCGUGACAUCUCUUAAACACUAUUAGCGAGUUAUUAAAAGACAAAUCAGAGAAGUUUCUGUAAAAUAUAGGAGCGAAAAAAAAAGUGAGAGGGGCGCGCGUUCAUAUGCUUCGCGUGUUUUACAGGAAAAAGGUGUGUUUUGUGGAAUAUAGUGUCGCGGGGGAAAGACGAGCCGCGCGGACUGAGGUCGAACUGUAACUUAUGAAGAAGUUGAGGAAACGCGCCGCACGUUCACUGUAGAAGGGAGGGGGAAAAGGUCCCUUUGGCAAGUAAAAUGCGUUUUUCAGACGAGUUCUUCGCGAGCAGGACGCAGCACAAAGGUGAGGUACUUUACUGAGCUCUUACACAGACAUUUUUCUCCUGCGUUCGAGUGUGUGUGCAGUGCAGUGGCUGCGCGCGCUGCUUUUCUCCGCGGAUAUUGUGUGUUGGUGAGAACGUAUUACGUGGGAAAUGAGAGUUUGACGAGCAGAAGGAAUCACUGAGGCGAUGUGAAGCGCUUCUCUCAGGUGAAAACUAGCCUUCAGAUGACACCAUUGCAAGAAAAUUACAACUUGCGGACAGUAGACGGCUUUGGCCAAUCAAAAGCGGCCUUGAGGAUCGGAGCUGCGCUGCACCACACCGUGCCACACCACACCGCAGUGCGCCGCCGACACCGGGCACCGCCACCGCCACACCCAGAAGCCCCUGGCGUUCGGAACCUGGCGACCAUCACUAUACAAACCCGACGAUGCAAUCUUCUCCAUCUUCUCCCUGGCACUGCGGUGUGGACCGGCGCAGCGCGGUGUGGUGACAGUCACCAUGAAAACAACUCUCACAGGAAGGAGAAACAUAUGUCAUCACACAACUCCAUGAAAUUCAAAAGAUGAACAGUUUAUUCUCACAGAAUAAAAAAAAUAGCUUCUAUUGAUAUUUCCA
rnacentral:lncRNA from 1 species